CCAGAGUUUUAGUUCCACACUGGCUGUUUGCUGGAGGCUUGCUUCAGUUUCUUGCCAAUUGGAUGUCCCUUUAGGGCAGUCUUCAUUAGGUAGCUGGUUUCCUGCAGAAUGCACAGAAGAACAAGAAAAUGAAUUAUCACCUAUGACCAAAGCCAGUCUUUACAAAGACCCCAGCCAAUGGAAUGGUCUGACACACAGAUGGCAGUGACCACUGGGAUGACCCAAAAGACAAUACAGUGCUGAGAAGAAGGGAC